GGCAGAUCUACCUAGUGACCGUGUUGAUCCCACACCACCAUUCACUUAUUGUGGUAUGGACUGCUUUGGUCCUUUUCACACCAAACAAGGUCGCAAAGAUCAAAAAACGGUGCGGCCUCCUCUUCACAUGUUUUUGCUCAAGGGCAGUGCAUAUAGAGAUGUUGGAGGAUUUGACGACCGACGCAUUCAUCAAUGCUUUGCGCUGCUUCAUUGCCCUUCGUGGAGCUGUUAGGCACAUUAGGUCCGAUCAGGGAACUAACUUUAUGGGGGCAAGAAACGAGAUGGCAAAAGCUCUAAAAGAACUUGAUAAGGAAAGAGUGACUGCAUACCUAGCAGAAAAUCAGUGCGACUUCCAGAUGAAUACGCCCCACUCUAGUCAUGCUGGAGGUGCAUGGGAGCGUCAAAUCCGAACAGUGAGAAGCGUACUGAGCACGGUCCUUGCCUGCAGUGUGGGAAGGUUGGAUGAUGCCUCAUUAAGGACAUUCCUUUAUGAAGCCAUGUGCAUCGUGAAUAACCGCCCACUCACUGUUGAUAACAUCAACGACCCCAAAAGCUUUGAGCCACUCACACCGAACCACUUAAUCACCAUGAAAUCCUCAAUCCCACUUCCACCUCCAGGUAAAUUUGUCAAGGAGGACCUGUAUGCUAAGAAACGCUGGAGAAGGGUUCAGUAUCUGACCGAGCAAUUUUGGCACAGAUGGAGGAAGGAAUACCUGGCCAAUAUUGCUCUGAGACAGCGGUGGCAUACACCAAGACGUAAUGUGGAGGUGGGUGACAUUGUGAUUCUCAAAGAGGAAGAUGUUCCUCGCAAUGAAUGGAAACUCGCUAGGGUUGUGGAAGCACAUGAGGAUGAUGAUGGACUUGUACGGAAGGUGACAAUCCAGACUGGUGAUCGGAAGUUAGGAAAUGGAGGCGAACGCCUCGUCCAACCUUCCAUCAUCCAAAGACCCAUUCAGAAAUUAGUGGUCCUGGUAAAAAACAGCUAAAAUUGGGAAAAAUGUCAUUCAUUGAUUACAUUUUCCUUCCAAAAUAGAAGUCAUUAUGCUGUACUUCAUGCACAUGUUAUGGAGAUGUAAAUUGUUCAUAUUGUUGAAUUCACUGUUGAGAAAAGAAUAUUGUUUAUGUCAAUGCAAGAGUGUUUAAAAACAGCAACAUGGUGCUUGAGAAUUACCAUUGAUUUAAUGAACAAUGCAAGUGUAUUUACAUUCACAAUUGUAAUAAUCAAAGGUAAUUGGUGGGAGUGUAGCUGACGCUGAAAUGUUUGUGUUGGUUGCCAUGACAACACCAGUAGCGCAUCUGAGAUCGUUAUGUUGUUUUCUGUUUGUUUUCAUUAUUUGGUACUCAUGUUUGUGUACAUUUGCAGUAGGAAAAGAUAAUCUGUGAUCCAGCAAUACAUCCUGCUUGUAAGAAACGUUUUGUUAAAACAUUAUUGUGAAGUAGUCACUUCCUGUGAGUCGCGGGAACCGGAAGUUGUGCGCGGGAGAGACAAGACAGAGCGGUAACACGGCGGACUUUUUGGAAUGUACAUCUUUUCUACUGCUGGUUUUACAAGGCGUACACGUUUUCACGGUGCUCCAUGAUUGUGAGCGGAAUAAAAGUAUUGUGGACAUCAGUACGAAGCGUGGAUUCUUUCGACCAGAGUAGAUACACUGAGGCUUUAAUUGAACUCACAGGCAAAGCCCUGUGCAAACCAUGAUUCUGACUCUGAGGUAAAUCACUGCUAUAAAACAUUACAGUGAAACUGAGCGAGUGAAACUGAAAUAAGAAACUGCAAAUUACAGCACACACAACCAAAGCUGUCAACAUAUUUCAGGCUUAUGUCGCAAACUUCAUCAUUCACAAGGCUCAAAAACAAGAAGUCAAAGGAUUUGAACAAAAAAAAAGGUAGUGUUAGUGGGAAAAGUGGGACAUUAAGUUGUGUUUUUAUGUGAUUUUUUCAUCCUAAAGGAGGUAAGGAAGUCUCUUUUGUGUGUUUCAUAAAUCAACAUAAAUUAAUUAAGAUUCAUGUGUUUGAUUAUAUCGGCAGGCAACAGAUAAAUUUACAUUAAAAUUAUUUAAACAGCAG
ensembl:lncRNA